rfam:Anopheles sinensis unplaced genomic scaffold AS2_scf7180000696055, whole genome shotgun sequence.
GGUACGGACGGACGAUAGUCUUCAACGACCGUUCCGUUUAACACGAGGUCGGUGGGACUUUCGUCCGUUUGUAAG